rnacentral:tRNA from 1 species
UACACUUUAGUAUAAUUGUAUAAAAGUUUUUGAUAUUUUAGGUAAUAAUUUGUUUUAUUAGGUGUAA